AUAGCGUAUAUUAAAGUUGUUGCAGUUAAAAAGCUCGUAGUUGAAAUUUGGGCCUGGCUGACCGGUCCGCCUCACCGCGUGUACUGGCUCGGCCGGGCCUUUCCUUCUGGGGAAGCUCAUGGUCUUUAUUGACUGUGUGGGGAACCAGGACUUUUACUUUGAAAAAAUUAGAGUGUUCAAAGCAGGCCUUUGCUCGAAUACAUUAGCAUGGAAUAAUGGAAUAGGACGGCUUUCCUAUUUUGUUGGUUUCUAGGAGAGCCGUAAUGAUUAAUAGGGACAGUCGGGGGCAUCAGUAUUCAAUUGUCAGAGGUGAAAUUCUUGGAUUAAUUGAAGACUAACUACUG
rnacentral:rRNA from 1 species